UACGUAGGGUGCAAGCGUUGUCCGGAAUCAUUGGGCGUAAAGAGCGUGUAGGCGGCCUCGUAAGUCCGCUGUGAAAGUCCAGGGCUCAACCCUGGGAUGCCGGUGGAUACUGCGAGGCUAGAGUCCGGAAGGGGCGAGUGGAAUUCCCGGUGUAGCGGUGAAAUGCGCAGAUAUCGGGAGGAACACCAAUGGCGAAGGCAGCUCGCUGGGACGGUACUGACGCUGAGACGCGAAAGCGUGGGGAGCAAACAGG
rnacentral:rRNA from 1 species